rfam:Colius striatus contig106578, whole genome shotgun sequence.
CUGCAUGUUUAUCCAAGAGCUGUGGUUCGAUCCCAUAGCUGCAGCUCUCCAACAACAUGCCAGAGCAACGGGAAGGUCUUUGACUGCUGGGCCUCCUUUGCCUCUUGCUGUCACUCGCCCCUCCUACACAC